rnacentral:rRNA from 1 species
ACGCUGGCGGCGUGCUUAACACAUGCAAGUCGAACGAUGAAGCCGCUUCGGUGGUGGAUUAGUGGCGAACGGGUGAGUAACACGUGGGCAAUCUGCCCUGCACUCUGGGACAAGCCCUGGAAACGGGGUCUAAUACCGGAUACGACACAGGAAGGCAUCUUCUCUGUGUGGAAAGCUCCGGCGGUGCAGGAUGAGCCCGCGGCCUAUCAGCUUGUUGGUGGGGUGAUGGCCUACCAAGGCGACGACGGGUAGCCGGCCUGAGAGGGCGACCGGCCACACUGGGACUGAGACACGGCCCAGACUCCUACGGGAGGCAGCAGUGGGGAAUAUUGCACAAUGGGCGAAAGCCUGAUGCAGCGACGCCGCGUGAGGGAUGACGGCCUUCGGGUUGUAAACCUCUUUCAGCAGGGAAGAAGCGCAAGUGACGGUACCUGCAGAAGAAGCACCGGCUAACUACGUGCCAGCAGCCGCGGUAAUACGUAGGGUGCGAGCGUUGUCCGGAAUUAUUGGGCGUAAAGAGCUCGUAGGCGGCUUGUCACGUCGGAUGUGAAAGCCCGGGGCUUAACCCCGGGUCUGCAUUCGAUACGGGCAGGCUAGAGUUCGGUAGGGGAGAUCGGAAUUC